UAAAUGCAUAACAUUUCCUCCCUUUAAAAUUACUUUUCCUCUCUUUCAAUCACAGUCUCUCUCUUCCCUCAUCUCUCAUCUCCCGUCUCCACCAUCGAACGACGUUCCACCACUCUCUCGUAGUCUCGUAUCUUCCCUCAUCUCUCGUCACUUCAAGAUCCAAUCCCUAAACCCAAUCAAAAUCUAAUAAAAAUGGCCUACUCAAAUUUCUCUAGCCCUACUCAAAUUUCUCUAGCCCUACUCAACUUUCCAGUUAUUCUCUCUCUUCCGUUUUAAUUCAUCCAACACAGGACGACUAGCCCCCCAAAAACCCUUCUCCAACGGUUCAACCUUGUUGCAUAGCCCACGCUUGCAAAAAUCGAGAGAAAGAGGAGAGAGGAGAGAUAUGGAGAUCCAUGGUAUCAAGAUCUUCCUUCACCAAAAGUUUUGGGCGAAAAUUGAUUUCUUCUACCCAAACCCCACCAUCUCAUGUAAUCCAUAAACCCUUGAUUUCAUCACAUUUUACAUUAAUCUAGAAUCCCGGCAAGCUAUGACAAGGUGUUUGCCGGUUGAAACACUGGCGGCAGAGGAGCUGGAGAAGGUCGGGAUGAAAUUAGAGCGUCCUUAUCAGUUAUUGUGUUCGGUUUUAGAUUUUCGUCGUUUGUUUCAGCUUAUUUUGUCAAAUUAUGUCAGCUAUUUUUCUAUCUUAUUGACUGGUUUUAGAUGAUGAUGAUGCAGACAAGUUUGUGUAUAAAUUAAUUGACAAAAACAGUAAAGCAGCAUAUACACGAGAUAAUGAAGGCCUUACACCUUUACUGAGUGCAACAAGGUCUGGUCAAUAUCAGGUUGUACAAGAUAUACUUAGAUAUUGCCCUCAAUCAUCCUACCUCAGAGAUCCGAAUGGCAGGACUUUUUUGCAUCUCUUGCGCUUAACAGGUGAGGAUGUUGAUGAGAGCUUCGCGGGGACAUUUAAGAAUACUGGGAAGCAGUUGUUUAAAAUUUAUAAUGUGCUAAAUUUGAUAUUGUUGUAGGAUCUAUAAUUGAUUUUACAUAAUUGCAAUAAUUUUGUUAGAAUUUGAAUUAUAUGUGCAUAUAUAUAUAUAUAUGAAUCUCGUCAUAGCUUGAUUAUGCUAAUUAUAAUAAAGUCAGAUUCAAUGAACCCUUUUUUUUUUUCUUGUGAUGAGAGGUAGUUAAAUAAUUUUGGUUGAAAUUUCUUGUGCUGAAAGUAUAAGGCCUUUUUUCGAUUUUAUUUAGUUGUUUUUUUGUGAUUUUACUGUUCAAUUAUAGAAAACUGUCUGUUAAUUCUAACCAUGGCUGGUUGCUUCCGAUAAAAUAUAUCUGUGUUAGUGGCUGAGCAAAUUAUAAAAAAUUUUGUUUGAUUUGAAUGCUACAUUAAAACUGGUCUUGUUGAUCUAGCACUUUGAGCUUUUUGAGUGUUUUGUGCUUGUCCAUCCUUCUCCAUUUGAACUCGGGUGAAACAAUUUUUAUUUAAAGUUGCUUGCUGUGUUGGUGUCUGAGUACUCUAUAUUUCUAUGUUGUGUCUCCAUGUGCAAAGCCAAAGGAGAGCCAGUGUUCACCAAUUACGAUUGGAGAAAAGGUGCUGCAAAGGCUGCAAAACAGAUAGAGAAAUAUGAUCCAAAAAGUGAACCAAAUGCCACCGAAGAUCCAUACUAGACACUAUUCGUUGCUAGGCUGGACUAGGCGGAAGCUCAAUUGAAUUGUCCUACGAUGACAUCAGAUGAAACAAACAUGAAUUAAUGAUCUUUCAAGGUGAUCCACUACAAAUGGUUUUGGUAAUUGCUUAUCUGUUAAGGAUGGUAAUGAGACGUCAGUUUUCUAUUAUUCUGUGGAUAUUUCUUGCUCUGUUACUCAUAUUCAUAUUGGAACUUCUUGUUCCAACAGAAGUAUCAUCUAUACAUUGAUCUUUGUUCCUAAGGCAUUAUCGGAAUUAAAAUCAAAGUUGCAGCUACUCGGAAAAAUGAUGGAAGAUGUAAAUUAUUCAACACUAAUUUAGAGGAAAAUAAUUUAAAUCUUAGUGUAGUCUUAAGUAAACUUUUAUUAUUAUUAUUAAAAUUGAGAUUUGUUUUUUCUUUGUUUUAAGUUUUAGUUAUUAUUAGGUAAUAAUUGAUGAAAGCAAACUUUUGCUGAAUAUAUAUGGAGUGUAUACUAUAACUUGUAUAAAAUAUGUAUCUUAAUUAAUUGAUAAAAUAAUUGUGUAAUGCAAGCUAGU